CUUGACUGUAGCUUGGAACUGGGUUCGGGCUCUUCUUGCGCAGCCUAGGUGGGAGGCGUUGAAGAUUUUCUUCCGGGGAAGUUGGAGCCAACAGUGAGAGACCACUCUGGAGGAGCUAGAAUUCUAAUGGCGUUCCUUGAAGCAGGACGCUUGACAGUUUCAGGUGGGCAGUUUGACUGGGGCGGUCACCUCCUAAAAGGUAACGGAGGUGUGCAAAGGUUCCCUCAGGCUGGACGGAAAUCAGCCGGAGAGUGUAAAGGCAGAAGGGAGCUUGACUGCAAGACCUACAAGUCGAGCAGGGGCGAAAGCCGGCCUUAGUGAUCCGACGGUUCCAUGUGGAAGGGCCGUCGCUCAACGGAUAAAAGUUA
rnacentral:rRNA from 1 species